CCGGUGACCUCUGUACGCACGGAGCAUGCGCACACCAGGGGCCAGGCACCGGUAAAACGCCGAGGACGCGCUCGUCGCCCCCUGGUGGCCGGGAGGACGCACCCUGGACUCCGCCCCGCCCACCCUUCCGCACAGGCGCAUGCGCAGACAUCUGGGCGUUGUCAGGGACGCCGGCCGGCGACUCCGGAGUCUUUAAGGAUGAGCUGCUGUGAUCCCACGGUUGCAAAAUCCCGAGUAGCCAGUGUGGAGCGGAGAUCUUCCAACCUCUUCAGAGGGCAGAGCGCAGGGUCAAGGUUCUGAAUUUACCUGCCCAUGCUUUUGAGAAAUUGAGAAUAUUUGUUCUCAGCCGCAAUUCCAUUCUAACAGCCCUUAUUUUCCUGUCCCUUGCCUGGAGCUUUCUGAGCCAAUUUUGUGUUGGUUUUGUUUGUUUGUUUUAACUCUUUCACUAUCUUGACAUACCAUUUUCCUGCCACUUUGUCCCUAGUGCUAUGAGUUUUAGGCUUUCCUUCCCCUUCUCUCAUAAGUAGUACUAACUUGACAUACUCCUCCAUUAGCGCUGAAUCACCGUGCUCUUCUCAGCCCCAUUUCUCAGCUCUACUGCCUCUCGAGUCUCUGUAAUCUUGGCAAACCCUGGUGUAACUUAACGCUGUAUUUGGAAAAAGAAAAAAAAAAUCUACGGUACACAUUCUAUCUUCCUUUCCCCUUCUCUUCCACCCACCCUUUGUCUCUUCCUUCUUUUACGUUUCCGAAAGUAUUCAAUGUGAUUGGCCCAUAGUUUUUAAAGCCCACCAGCAAGAAAAUAAGUUUUCGAAUUAAUAUUUUUCCCAGACUGUGGUUGUGAAAUCUAUUAAAGAUUUUAGCCUGGUUGGUUAGGUGAAUAGAUUAGUUGUGUCUAACCAACUUAAAGAAAAAAAUUAGGGGGAGGGGUUUUCAUUUUUUUAAGGACUAUUACUAAUUAAACUGUUUCAUAAUAGAGAAAACACUAGAGGGGUAAAGUUCUCACUGUUGCUUAUGAAACCUGUCUCUGGAGAUGGGUUAUGUAGAAGCUAAAACCGUGUUCAGUGAGUUAAUUUGUUAGUUAUCCUGAAGGUGGCAGUCUGCUCCAAGAUUUCCAUCUGAGAGCUUUUUAAACAAGUUCAUAACUGGGUGCCUUUUUUUUAAAACCAAUUUCUCUGGACAUCAAGAAAUGUUCCUUGGCCUCAUUAAGUCUGUUCUGUGCUUUAAGAAUUAUAGUAGCAAUUCCACUCACUGCCUGCUAAAGUAUUUUAAAUUUUCAUGUGAUUCCACCAAACUUAGGGCUACAUGAAAGUAACCUUACACAAGAGUUUCGAGUGAGUCCAGGACAGCAGAUAGUACAAAAUUAAAGAUCUGUGAAUUUCUACACGCAGGAAAGCUUGGAUUUGACACUGGAAGAGACAGUGGCAGCAUCCAAGGCAUAUGCAUGAGGCUGGCCACAGACAGACCUGAUGUUGGUCAUAUGACUUCCUGACUUAUGGUUCUUUGAAGUGCCCUCUUCUGACAUGGUCCCUGAACCUUGGGAAGAGGGCCUGUGGAUACAGAUGUCCCAUUCCUGACCGAGCACUCUGUAGACACCUUUUUCUGCAUUUUACUUGAGCUUCUGCACAAAGAAAUGUCUCUGAUGAGGUUUGAGAGUUACACUAACAUAUUGGUAGUGAGACACAAAGUCGGUGUGUAGUUUGACUCUAUGUUUAUUAAUAGGAGUAGGUUUCCUCCUGUACCUUGUGAGCUCACAACCAUUGCUUCCUGAGAGACCUUUUCAUUAAAGCCAUGUGAUUCCUCC